AGCAGUGUGGCUUAGUGGUAAGAGCAUGGGCUUGGGAGUCAGAGGUUGUGGGUUCUAAUCCUGGCUCUGCUA
rnacentral:tRNA from 1 species